GAGGAUUUAACUCAGUGGUAGAGUGCUUGCCUAGCAAGCACAAGGCCCUGGGUUCAGUCCUCA
rnacentral:tRNA from 1 species